CUGGCUCAGGAUGAACGCUAGCGGCAGGCUAACACAUGCAAGUCGAGGGGCAACGCGAGUAGCAAUACUUGGCGGCGACCGGCGCAAGGGUGCGUAACGCGUGAGCAACAUGCCCGUAUCAGGGGGGAUAAUCCAGGGAAACUUGGUCUAAUACCCCAUAGUAAUUUUGUAAGGCAUCUUAUAAGAUUUAAAGCUUUGGUGGAUACGGAUUGGCUCGCGUGACAUUAGCUGGAUGGUAAGGUAACGGCUUACCAUGGCUAUGAUGUCUAGGGGUUCUGAGAGGAAGGUCCCCCCACACUGGAACUGAGACACGGUCCAGACUCCUACGGGAGGCAGCAGUGAGGAAUAUUGGACAAUGGAUGGAAAUCUGAUCCAGCCAUGCCGCGUGAAGGAAGAAAGGUCCUAUGGAUUGUAAACUUCUUUUGUAUGGGAGCAAUAAGGCCUACGAGUAGGUUGAUGAGAGUACCAUACGAAUAAGCACCGGCUAACUCCGUGCCAGCAGCAGC
rnacentral:rRNA from 1 species